rnacentral:rRNA from 1 species
GUUGAACGCUGGCGGCAGGCCUAACACAUGCAAGUCGAACGGUAACAGGAAGCAGCUUGCUGCUUUGCUGACGCGUGGCAGGCGGGAGUGAAAUGUCGGGGACACAGCCUGAUGGCGGGGGAUAACUACUGGAAACGGUAGCUAAUACCGCAUAACGUCUCAACACCAAAGAGGGGGACCUUCAGGCCUCCUUCCUGCCGAUUUGCCCAGAUUCCAUUCGGCAUUAGCUAGUGGGUAGGGUAACGGCUGACCAAGGCGACGAUGCCUAGCUGAUCUGAGAGGAUGAUCAGCCACACUGGAACUGAGACACGGUCCAGACUCCUACGGGAGGCAGCAGUGGGGAAUCUUGCGCGAUGGGCGAAAGCCUGAUGCAGCCACGCCGCGUGUAUGAAGAAGGCCUUCGGGUUGUAAAGUUCUGUUAUUGGGGAAGAAGAGAUUUAAGUGAAAACCUGUGCUCAUUGACGUUACCCGAAGAAGAAGCCCCGGCUAACUACGUG